UACCGGCGGCUCGAGUGGUGGCCACUAUUACUGGGCUUAAAGCGUUCGUAGCUGGUUUGUUAAGUCUCUGGGGAAAUCUUCCGGCUUAACCGGAAGGCGUCUCAGGGAUACUGGCAGACUAGGGACCGGAAGAGGUGAGGGGUACUCCAGGGGUAGGAGUGAAAUCCUGUAAUCCUUGGGGGACCACCUGUGGCGAAGGCGCCUCACCAGGACGGCUCCGACAGUGAGGGACGAAAGCUGGGGGAGCAAACCGG
rnacentral:rRNA from 1 species